rnacentral:lncRNA from 1 species
UCUUCACCCCUAAAAAGAAAUUUCAUCCUCGAAAUUUUUCAUACCUGUCAUCAGUGUAUUGGAAGCCUGUGCAUUUUGUUGAGUAAGCGCAUAAACUCUUCCCUGAUUUUUAGAAAUCUGUCCACCACCCUUAUGUUGUCCUUCAUCAGUUCUUUGGCCAACUUGAUUUUCAGUAUUUAGCAGGCAGCUAGCAAUUUUAUGAUC